rnacentral:rRNA from 1 species
GACGAAAAAUAACGAUACCAGACUCAUCCGAGGCCUGGUAAUCGGAAUGAGCACACUUUAAAUCCUUUAGCGAGGAACCAUUGGAGGGCAAGUCUGGUGCCAGCAGCCGCGGUAAUUCCAGCUCCAAUAGCGUAUAUUAAAGUUGUUGCGGUUAAAAAGCUCGUAGUUGGAUCUCGG